AGCCUGUAGAGAUCGAGGUAAAACACUCUCAACGGAUGAAUGAUCCUCCCCUCAGACCUUGGGUAGCAAUAGCGAAAGAUGGUCAGAUCCUGUGCUGCCACUGUACCUGCAUGGCUGGAUUGGGUGAAACAUGUUCACAUUCAGCAGCAUCCCUGUUCGCCCUGGAGACAUUAAUACGUAUGAAGACGGCCACUUCAUGCACAUCACUACCUUGUCAGUGGCUGAAACCAUCAGCAUCGCACAUAGAAUAUGCUGAAGGAUGCAAUAUCGAUUUUGCCCGUCCAGCCCAGAAACGAAAGUCAGAAGUUUCAACUCCUGAGGAAAGUGCUGCGAGAAAACUGCUGAAUGUUCCUCCACCAACUGAAGAGCAGAAAGCUGCCUUUUACAAGGCUUUGUCUGAAUGCGGUGGAAGACCAGCAAUUUUGAGCAUUGUCCCUGACUAUGCUGACAACUUUGUGCCAAGGGCAGUGAAGCGAAAGCU